rnacentral:rRNA from 1 species
GACGAACGCUGGCGGCGUGCUUAACACAUGCAAGUCGAACGGAAAGGCCCUGCUUUUGUGGGGUGCUCGAGUGGCGAACGGGUGAGUAACACGUGAGUAACCUGCCCUUGACUUUGGGAUAACUUCAGGAAACUGGGGCUAAUACCGGCUAGGAGCUCCUGCUGCAUGGUGGGCGUUGGAAAGUUUCGGCGGUUGGGGAUGGACUCGCGGCUUAUCAGCUUGUUGGUGGGGUAGUGGCUUACCAAGGCUUUGACGGGUAGCCGGCCGGGGAGGGUGACCGGCCACAUUGGGACUGAGAGAGGGCCCAGACGCGUACGUGGGCGAGGAGGGGGGAAUAUUGACUGAGGGGCGGAGGACUGCUGGAGCAACGUCGGGUGCGGGAUGACUGUAUGCGGGUGGGAAACAGAUUUCGUUUAUGCCGAAGCGUGAGGGAGGGAACUGGAGAAAGAACCACGGGUUAACUAGGG